GUCGACGGUUAAGCAUCUUCGGAUGUGUAUAAAGUGGCGAACGGCUGAGUAACACGUGGGCAACCUGCCCUUUGCACUGGGAUAGCCUCGGGAAACCGAGGUUAAUACCGGAUACUCCAUAUUUGUCGCAUGGCGAAUAUGGGAAAGCUCCGGCGGCAAAGGAUGGGCCCGCGGCCUGUUAGCUAGUUGGUGGGGUAGUGGCCUACCAAGGCAAUGAUGGGUAGCCGGGUUGAGAGACCGACCGGCCAGAUUGGGACUGAGACACGGCCCAGACUCCUACGGGAGGCAGCAGUGGGGAAUCUUGCACAAUGGGCGAAAGCCUGAUGCAGCGACGCCGCGUGCGGGAUGAAGGCCUUCGGGUUGUAAACCGCUUUCAGCAGGGACGAGGCCGCAAGGUGACGGUACCUGCAGAAGAAGCCCCGGCUAACUACGUGCCAGCAGCCGCGGUAAUACGUAGGGGGCAAGCGUUAUCCGGAUUCAUUGGGCGUAAAGCGCGCGUAGGCGGUCUGUUAGGUCAGGAGUUAAAUCUGGGGGCUCAACCCCUAUCCGCUCCUGAUACCGGCAGGCUUGAGUCUGGUAGGGGAAGAUGGAAUUCCAAGUGUAGCGGUGAAAUGCGCAGAUAUUUGGAAGAACACCGGUGGCGAAGGCGGUCUUCUGGGCCAUGACUGACGCUGAGGCGCGAAAGCUAGGGGAGCGAACAGGAUUAGAUACCCUGGUAGUCCUAGCUGUAAACGAUGGACACUAGGUGUGGGGAGAUUAUACUUUCCGUGCCGCAGCUAACGCAUUAAGUGU
rnacentral:rRNA from 1 species